rnacentral:rRNA from 1 species
UACGAAGGGGGCUAGCGUUGCUCGGAAUCACUGGGCGUAAAGGGUGCGUAGGCGGGUCUUUUAAGUCAGAGGUGAAAUCCUGGAGCUCAACUCCAGAACUGCCUUUGAUACUGAAGAUCUUGAGUUCGGGAGAGGUGAGUGGAACUGCGAGUGUAGAGGUGAAAUUCGUAGAUAUUCGCAAGAACACCAGUGGCGAAGGCGGCUCACUGGCCCGAUAUUGACACUGAUGAGCGAAAGCCAGGGGAGACAAACGGG